rnacentral:misc_RNA from 1 species
AAGUUGAAGACUUCAAAAAUUGGCGUUGAUUAUCAUACAAACAACCUAAUUUCGCAAAGAAAAUACUACCUGACUUGUCUGGGAGCUCACACUUGGACUAGUGCUUGCAAUUCAAGGCCAUUUAGUGAAUUCAAACACUUUGAAAACAAUGUCAAUUCCAGUAGGGAUUUGCCAUAUAAAAAGCAGAACAUUUAAUGUGUUCAAGGCAAUGUGAAGAUUCCUUGCCGUCUCAUUGCCUUUCUGCAUUGCAGGCACUAGAGCUGCAGCUGCUGCCCAUAGAACUGUAAUGCCUGUAACGCCAAAAAAAUAGAUGAAGAUCAAGUCAUUUCCCUCCAGGACGAAAAACAGCUCAAUAAUUUUUUUAAAUGACCUGCACUCUGCAGAACCUAAAUAUUCACAAUCAGGACUCAUCUGCAAAGUUUUUUGGGUUACAUUCUGGAUUCAUACUAUACCUGCUCCACCAAACAAGUGGGGACCAGGGAAUAGCUUUCCUGUCCUAAACCAUGUGUUGACUCCUCCACCAAUAGAUUCAAAAACUCCAAAUCCUAGCAGUAUUGAUCCUACAUUGAAGUGCCUGUCCCUGUAUGACCCUUUUAUCAACUCCUUCCUCUCCUCAGUGAGUUGCUGAAUUUUGAUUUCAACAGGAGACGGUGCUGCUUCCACAGGUGUCCCUUCAGGUGUAACAGGGGUAGGUUUGACUUGCUUCUUCAGCUCAUUGAUCUCAUUCUGUAUGGUCCUGACUCGCCUCCAUUGCCAACCCAAAUACCCAGCCCACAAGGUGUAGAAGAAUAAAAACCCCAUCACAAUUGGGUGGAUGAGUGCAAAUGUCCUUCCCUCCAAUAUCCCAAACUCCCCACCAACAGCAAGUGCAUCCUUGGCAUCUAAAAAGAGGGGAAAUGUGAAUGCGGUAAGGGGAAGAGAUGACGAAGGUAUACGGUGGAUGGUUUCUAAGAGGAGCUUUUGUGGGUUAGUGGAGUGCUUCUUGCAGACAUCCAAUUUUGGUUGUCUGGGGAGAGAUGGGAGUUUUGAGUGUAUAAAUGGAGGGUUUCUGGGAAGGACAGGUGAUUUUAGAAGGCUGAGUGUGGUAGCCAUGCUCUUCUCUGCUUUUGGGCACAGGCUAAGAGAAGAGGAUGACAGUUGACAGGCAAUCGAAAAAGAUAAGGAAACGAGAAUCCU